UCUUAUACGAAAUGAAAUGAAUGACAUAGUAUAACUGUGAUAUUUCAAAUGAUAAAUGAUUAUUAUGAAAUGAAAUGUUUAUGGAAAUGAUUAAAUGAUAAAUGGUUCUUAUGAAAGGAAAGGAAAUGUUUAUGAAAUGAUUGUCUGCCAAAAAUGUUUAUGUUUUAUGUAUGUAUCCUAUCUGUGUUGGUUCGCCAACUAUAAAGGAAAUCGAAUUCGGACCCUACGCUAGACGAAGGUUUGCUAGUAAGGGUUAACGUGUACACCCAUGGAGACUGUGUGUCGCUUGCGACCGGUCUUGGCGUCCGUGGAAGGAGGCCUCCUUCCCGGCGCGUUAAAGGAACAGAUAUGGAUCAUAUAGACCGAAAAUGGGAUGCGCAUCCAACUUUAUGAAAUGAAAGAAAAUGUUUAGUAAGCACAGGUCCUUCAAGUAAAACCCUGUGUGUUACUGUUGGCAGUACAAUAAAUGAUAUAAAAUGUUAUAUUUCCGGCAUAUGUUCACUGAGUAUUUUUACUCAGCCCUGCAUGUUGUUUUCCCUAAUGUGCAGAUUGAGCGGGUGAUGGAAUGGAGUGGAGUUGAGCGGAUGUACCCUUGUGACGUAAAACAAUAAUGUAACCUUGAGUAUACAUCUUCAUAUGUAUAACUCACACGUAUUUCCGCUGCAAGAUACUCUGAUUAUGCUAAUGUUUUGUUUUAAGUAUGAUACUAUUUUGUUGGGUAAUCCACUUCGACGGGCCUUCCCGAAUAAACGUCUUGUAUUUGCCCAAGUGAUCAGUUAUGAUCCUAGUGUUAUAUAAUAAAUGUCUCUUUUCGUAAAAUGUUUGAUUGUUAAGUAAAUGCCCCUUUCUUUCCCCGCUUCUUAAUCCCC
rnacentral:lncRNA from 1 species